rnacentral:lncRNA from 1 species
UUGGCUCAAUUUGGAGAGGUCGUUCUCCAGUGGGGAAGAAGGAAUAACAAAAGGAGCAUUUUUGGAGCAUUUAUUAACAGUAUAGGCUAGGCUUUUUUUCUAUGUAUUUUAUAUGUGUCUAUUCAUUUAAUGCCCUUGAUAAUCCACUGAAAGAGGUGUCAUUAUUAUCAUCCCAUUUUACAGAAGAAGAAACUGAAACAAGAAGACAUUGUCCUAGGUACUGUGCAUACAGCAGCAGACCAAACAAAGCCACUUCCCUCUCUUGCUUCAUGGCGCUUACUUUGCAGUGUGGAAGAUGAGCAUCUCAGCAUCUCAGAGGUGAAGAAACUGGCCUAGCCACCACGUGGUGGCACUUGCAGCCUGAGUCAGCAGAUCCCCAGGCAAAUGAAGACUCUGAGAUGAAGACAGCUGAGCGCAUGAUGGGGUAGGUCAGCCUCCCUCAUGGAAAUUCUGUGUGCCUGAGGCCCACCCUUCCAGUGCAGAUGGAGGGAUGGGAUGGAAAUGAAUCUAGGGGAACGCAUCCCAGCUGUGAUCCAGCCACCUCUGCGUUUGAAGGCUGGGGGUUAUUCCCUCCUCAUGGUUGCCACGCAUUCUUAUGUUUGCAUGUCAUGCUUGGAACUGCCGCAGCCACUUUGUGACAGCCUGAGAAUGAAUCCAGCGCUAAAAUCAGUCUAGCAAAAGGAGGAGAAACACCUGGGUCUCCAUGAUGUCACUGAGCAAGUGAAUUGACCAGCUGUGAGAUGAUCCAGAACUGAGAUCCAGAGCCACAAAGGGCUUGUGCCAGACCUAAGUGAGAUGCAGAGUCGGCCUUAAACCCAAUUCUCAUGAUCAGUGGUGAUUGUGGUGAUGAUGAUGAUGAUGGUGAUUCUGGGGAUGAUGAUGAUAAUGGAUUUUUCUUCACAGUGUCUAGCAGUAUUCCUGGCACAUAAUAUGCAUGGACCUAUGCUGGAACUAAAUGAUUUAAUAUCCAUAAAGGGUCCUAUGAGGCAAGCUCCAGAGACACAGAGGAAGGCCAUACAGCAAUAGCAUGAAACACAGCUUUGAGGUCCUGGGGCCAGGGAAGGGCACAAGGUGUGGCUGAGGGGAUGCUCAUGUGUGCUUCCCUGCUCUUUCCUCAGGAAGGUUUCCCUGUUUGGAGCAGCCGCCACAUGCCAUGGCUUCUUUCUCUGCCUUUUGCUUUGAUUAAUUGCACCUUUCAUGAUUCAUAUCGCAUAAUUGCCUUCCAAAUGGGUUAUUCCUGGGUGGUAACCUUAUGGGGGUAGGUUUGUGGGUCUCUGGAGCAUCUUAAGUAUGAUGUUGCAGUCAUAACUAAAUGAGGCAUGAUCUCUUGAUGGCACAAGACAUGCAGGGAGGGUAUACCUUGUCUCUAAAUCAGCGCUAUUCCGUAGAACUUUCUCUGCUGAAGGAAAUAUGCUGUAUCUGCACCAUCCAAUAUGGAAGCCACUAGCCACAUGUUGCUAUUGAACACUUCAAAUGUGGCUAGUGCAACUUGUAACUGAGUUCUUAAUUUUAUUGAAUUCAAAUUAAUUCAACUGUAUGUGUAAGUAGCCACCUAGGAUAGUCUUGUGGCUACCAAAUUCGACAGUGCCGUCUCUAGAGUAAUCAAAAAUCUUAGGAUUCAGCAGGAUGAAGUUCGAAUGCCACUACAGUCACUCAGUGCCUGCAUGACCUUGGACGUGUCAGUUAAGCUCUCUGAGCUUCAGUGUUCUCUUCCAUAAAAUAGGUUUAGUAAUUUCUUUUCCUUGUAGUUGUUGUAACGAUUUCAUAGUAUACCAUGUGUUUACUGUCUAGAACAGUGUCAGGUGCAUAAAAUGGAAACCCAUUAAGUUGAAAGCUAUUAAUACUAUGUGUCCACUUGGAGAUCCAAACCACAUCUUACAGAUAGGAAACUUCAGUGGCAACAUUUCCUUCUUGUGAGGGGGGAAUAAAAGGGAAUCUAGGACCAAGUUACCUGAGAUUUAUGCAUCCAGCAUUACCCUCAUUCCUAUUGAUAUUAUGGAGAGAAGCUUACAGGAAAAUGUUCACCUACUUAGAAUAUAUGUUAUAGAGUGUGUUGAGGUCCAGGAAGCUGCUGUGGUUAGAAUGUACCUUAGGGACAUUCUGGGGGGUGGGUCACCAGUUCUGCUCUCAUAUUCUUGACCAGGCUUUGUGCCAGGUCAUGUAGCUCCCAGAAUGCAUCUUCUGGGUCUGGAGCUCCAUGGUAUUCUUCUACUUGGAAUAUUAUCCUGCACUCAAAACAGCACCCUUUUGUCUGCCUUACUAAUUUGCUCUCCUCUUGGACAUUCCUAUGGCAUCAUUCAGACAUUGUUCCUCUUGGAGUCUUCAGUUACCUCUUCUCUGUGCCCCUUGAACAAACCUUUGUUGCAGCACCAUUGGGAGGUCUGCAUGCCCAACUUCCUAUAAAAGGGUUAUAUCUUUCAAUCUCUAGAAAUUCUCAGAGCCUAGUACACAACCUGGUAUGUAACAGGAUCUAUAAAUGUUUAACAAGACAAUAAUAAUAACAACAAAGAUGAUAAUGUGGUGGUGAUGAUGGUGGUGAUGGCGGCAAUGAGGAUGAUGG